GACGGAGGAUGCAAGCGUUAUCCGGAAUUAUUGGGCGUAAAGCGUCCGCAGGUGGCUGUUCAAGUCUGCUGUCAAAGCGCAGAGCUUAACUCUGUACAGGCGGUGGAAACUGAAGAGCUAGAGUAUGGUAGGGGUAGAGGGAAUUCCUGGUGUAGCGGUGAAAUGCGUAGAUAUCAGGAAGAACAUCGGUGGCGAAGGCGCUCUGCUGGACCAUAACUGACACUCAGGGACGAAAGCUAGGGGAGCGAAUGGG
rnacentral:rRNA from 1 species